rnacentral:rRNA from 1 species
GACGAACGCUGGCGGCGUGCCUAAUACAUGCAAGUCGAGCGGACGAAUCGAAAGCUUGCUUUUGAUUCGUUAGCGGCGGACGGGUGAGUAACACGUGGGCAACCUGCCCUGUAGACGGGGAUAACACCGAGAAAUCGGUGCUAAUACCGGAUAACACGAAAUGUCGCAUGACGUUUCGUUGAAAGACGGCGCAAGCUGUCGCUACAGGAUGGGCCCGCGGCGCAUUAGCUAGUUGGUGAGGUAACGGCUCACCAAGGCGACGAUGCGUAGCCGACCUGAGAGGGUGAUCGGCCACACUGGGACUGAGACACGGCCCAGACUCCUACGGGAGGCAGCAGUAGGGAAUCUUCCGCAAUGGAUGAAAGUCUGACGGAGCAACGCCGCGUGAGCGAAGAAGGCCUUCGGGUCGUAAAGCUCUGUUGUUAGGGAAGAACAAGUAACGCAGUAACUGGCGUUACCGUGACGGUACCUAACGAGAAAGCCACGGCUAACUACGUG